GACCUCCCUUCACACAGAGCGGAGGAUGAUCCCCGGGGCCCCCAGCACGACCACCACCAUGCUCCCCGCCGCCGAGGCUGCCAAAAUUUACCAGACCAACUACGUGCGCAACUCCCGCGCCAUCGGCACCCUAUGGGCCAUCUUCACCAUCCUCUUCGCCAUCGUCAACGUGGUGUGCUUCAUCCAGCCGUACUGGAUCGGAGACGGAAUGGACACCCCGCAGGCGGGCUACUUUGGUCUGUUCCACUACUGCAUCGGGAACGGGCUGUCCCGGGACUUGACCUGUCAGGGCAGCUUCACCGAGUUCAGCACCAUCCCCUCCGGUGCGUUCAAGGCCGCGUCCUUCUUCAUCGGCAUGUCCAUGGUGCUGGUCCUCACCUGCAUCGGCUGCUUCGCUCUCUUCUUCUUCUGCAGCACUGGCACCGUGUAUAAGAUCUGCGGCUGGAUGCAGCUCGCUGCAGGUACAUGUCUGAUUCUAGGCUGCAUGAUCUACCCGGACGGCUGGGACAGCGACGAGGUGAAGCGCAUGUGUGGCGAGCAGACGGACAAGUACACGCUGGGGGCCUGCUCGCUGCGCUGGGCCUACAUCCUGGCCAUCAUGGGCAUCUUGGAUGCUCUCAUUCUUUCCUUUCUGGCCUUCGUCCUGGGGAACCGUCAAGACAGUCUGAUGUCUGAGGAGCUGCUGGGAGACAAGAGCGGCAAUAAUACCAUAUAAUAUCUGGUCUUGCUGCCUAGGCAUGAUGUUACUUCAGGAUCCAGCUUCCCUCUCCUGGUCCAGCCUGUGGCUGAGAUGCAGAGCUUAUGUGUGGGGAAAGAACAGAUCAAAGAAGAGGAAGUCUGGAAGAGGUCAUACAACCUUGGUGGGAACCAGGAUGCCACCUGUCCUCUCUGAAAGCUCCCCCCUGUAAAAUAGCCUUCUCAUUCAACUCAAACUGCUUAAUCUCACAGGAUAAAUUCUCAAAAAGACUUUCUAAAAGUUUACCUGUGUUGGUAUGUCACUGCAUCAUCUUUUCUAGAGCUGUUCAAACUGAAAUUAUUGUCUGUGUGGAUAUGAGGAAGGCUGCCGGUGAGCAAGUUAAGCUGAAUUUUAUUUAUUUAAAGACUCUUCAUGCGGUAAUAUAGCUCCAGGACACACACCACUGAGUGAAGGCUGCUCAAAUCGAAUUAAAUCAAAACAACUUUGCCAGACUUCGACUGACACAAAUAAGACUUGAGGUCAAAGCUAUCAGAUCUAAUUUCUUAUCAAGUCAACAACAACUCUGCAACGGACAGUUUGACCUUUGAUUUAAAGAAGAGCAAAGUGAGGACUGAAGAAAAUGAGGCUGGACAAAAGAAGAGAAAGAGCAGUAUUGUUUUGUUAUAUUUACAUGUUUGAUGUUAUAGAAUCAAAGGUAGUAAUUAGAGGUUUUGCUGGUGACAACUUUGCAAAAAAAAAAAAAAAAAGCUAAAAAGGAGAAAACAUCAAUUGUAUCAAGUACAUAAUCUGUGUAUAGCUAUAUGUUUAUUAUGUCCCUGUAUUUUGUCUUGACUUUGAAAUGUACACUUUGAAAUGUCAAGCUAUUGGUCCAUUAUUAGUGUGUGCCAUACAAUAUCUUGUAAUCUGACAGUAUUGUGGAGUACUUAAGGGAGUAAGAAAAGUUAAACUGAACAUUAAUUGAAGCUGGAUAAGUUUGACUCUUUGUAUCUUUUUGUUGCCUGUCAUUCUUCAGUCUCCCCGCUAAAGGAGUUAGUGGAGUGUGUCUUACAUUAAAACUGUUAUUGUAACUAUGAUGGAACAAAAGAAACAUGAAAGAAAUAUGCUCAUUUGCUUUUUGGUGUAGAGUUAGCAUUAGCUACCUGGGUAAGAAUCAGAACUCAGAAUCACAAUCAGAGAAGGGUUAAGAGACAGUGGGGAUUACAGGCCUUGUUAAUGAGGCCGACAGCAGUCGGGAAGAAGCUAUUUGUGUGGCGUGAAGUUUUGGUCCUGAUGCGUGUUUCUAGAAGUUUUUGACCAGGGUGGUAGAGCUCGACGAACAGGCAGCCAAUCACAUUCUCAGCAGAGAAGAAGACCAAUUCUCUCACCAACUCUCCGCUGGAAAGCUAAGUAUAAUUCCUAAAAUGUUGAAUUCCUUUAACACCUUUUUUAAACAAAGUAGGAGUGUCAGACAGCAACAUUAUAUUUUGUAAGUGGCCCUUAUUUGUUAUUAUUCCUUUUACUUCAGGUACCAUGUCACACUAAAGGAGUCAUGUGUGUUUGUGUCACUCAUCAAGUCGCAUCCUUGGGCCCAAAGGUGUAAGCAAAGACUGCCGCUCAGGAGAUCCGAACACAUUCAAAACUGUGGAGAUGACAAUGGACUUUGGGAGGAGCUCCCCAACACUGCCCCACCAUACUAAACAGCACUGUGUCUGCUGUGGAGUCUUUAGGUUUUUGGUAUCCACAAUCUCCUAGGUCCUUAAGUGGACAUCCAACAUUGACACAAUCAGGAAAAGGACCAGAGGAUGUACUUCGCCAGAUCCGAAAGUUCAAACUGCCUCAGGAGCUGCUGAUCCAAUUUUACACAGCAUUCAGUCUUUUCUUUGCACAUCCAUAACUGUGUGGUUUGAAUCAACCACCAAACAGGACAGGAAAAGUACAACAGUACUACAACAGUCAGGACUGCAGAAAGAAUCAUUAUUGCAAACCUGUCCUCCACUCAGGACUUAUACACACAAGAGUCAAGACACAUGUCAUUGUUUUAUUCUAUACUUUUUAAUAUAUAUGUUUAUAUCUUUGACCAGCGUUGUUGUAAUGUUUCAGCUGUGUGUCUAUUUCUGACUAUGUACAUUGAGAGCAACAGAAACUGGAGUCAAAUUCACAUACUUGGCCAAUAAAAAUGAUUGUGAUUCAGA